rnacentral:rRNA from 1 species
UACGAAGGGGGCGAGCGUUGUUCGGAUUUACUGGGCGUAAAGGGCGCGUAGGCGGCCUUGUCAGUCAGGCGUGAAAGCCCCGGGCUCAACCUGGGAACGGCGCUUGGGACGGCGAGGCUGGAGUUCGGGAGAGGAGAGUGGAAUUCCCAGUGUAGAGGUGAAAUUCGUAGAUAUUGGGAAGAACACCGGUGGCGAAGGCGGCUAUCUGGACCGUAACUGACGCUGAGGCGCGAUAGCGUGGGGAGCAAACAGG